rfam:Amanita muscaria Koide BX008 unplaced genomic scaffold scaffold_6, whole genome shotgun sequence.
GUCACUUUGCCGGAGUGGUUAACGGGAUCGCCUGCUAAACAGCAAAGCGGUUGGUCUUUGACCGCGAGUGUUCGAAUCGCUCAGGUGACG